UGGGGAAUAUUGGACAAUGGGCGAAAGCCUGAUCCAGCCAUGCCGCGUGUGUGAAGAAGGUCUUCGGAUUGUAAAGCACUUUAAGUUGGGAGGAAGGGCAGUAACCUAAUACGUUGCUGUCUUGACGUUACCGACAGAAUAAGCACCGGCUAACUCUGUGCCAGCAGCCGCGGUAAUACAGAGGGUGCAAGCGUUAAUCGGAAUUACUGGGCGUAAAGCGCGCGUAGGUGGUUUGUUAAGUUGGAUGUGAAAUCCCCGGGCUCAACCUGGGAACUGCAUUCAAAACUGACAAGCUAGAGUAUGGUAGAGGGUGGUGGAAUUUCCUGUGUAGCGGUGAAAUGCGUAGAUAUAGGAAGGAACACCAGUGGCGAAGGUGACCACUGGACUGAUACUGACACUGAGGUGCGAAAGCGUGGGGAGCAAACAGGAUUAGAUACCCGUGUAGUCCCUGAGCGGGCUGGCAAGGCGCAU
rnacentral:rRNA from 1 species